CCCAAGCAUAGCAGGGAGACAAAAACUCACCUCCACCAGUCCUGACGGUGUCGAUGAACUGUAGUUCACAGUGAUAUUUUUUACAGAAAAGAGAAAACUGAUUAAGAUUUUUAAGGUAAUGGACGAGCUUGACAAGGCAGACACAGAGGAAAUAUUUCCAUGAACAGUGCAAAAGUAGAAGUAACACAUAAAUACAGCAUUGACACAAAUAAAUGCAGCAGAGAAUUCAGUGGAAACCUUUUCACCCAGACAUCAUUGAGAAUGUGGAACUUGCUGUCAGAAGGAAUGGUUGAUGGAAAGAGCAUGGAUGCAUUGACAGGAGAGCUUGACAGCUAUCUGAGGGAGAAAUGAACAGAACCGAUAUGGUUCAAUGAGGAGGACAAUGCAACUCCAAUCUUCCUGGAGGAAUGGCGACAUUUAUUUCCACAUGUAGUGAGGUAGGCUUGCUGCCUACACAGAACGCAACACUGACCAGCAGUAAGCUGAAGAGGAGAACUGUUUGAGAUGCUCAAAAUUCAUGAACAGCUUUGGUCGAGGAAAAGAGGAAAAACUGUUUCUAGCAGCAGAAGGUCAGCCAUGCAACAUAUCACUUUCAUAAUCUGAACCUACUUCUGUAUCCACAAUGUGUAUAUCUACAAAAUCCACCACCAAGAGGAACAAUGGCAGCAGCCUGAUGCACUGGAGCACCAACAGGGGAAGUGGCCAGAAGUGAAGGCCACUGAUAAAUGCCAUGUCUUCCAAGAAGAUAUCCAAAUGGAGUUGGUAACCCUAAGUGGGAAGAGGGUAAGAUAAUCGUCAACAUGACUGGAUAAAACUGCAAAUAGAAGUGGCCCAUGUUUUAUUUAAUCUAUGAUCAGACAAGGCUGCCCACUUUAUCUUAAAACAAAACCUUCAGUUGCUUUUGGUAACACUGGAAAGACAAUGCACUCAUGGCACUGCAAAAAAUAUAAUGGCACAACAUACAUCAGAUGAUGCCAAUCUCAUUAACCUAUCAACUGAUUCUGCCCCCCCUAAGUAUGGGUGGCUGUAUUCAUUGUCUGCCAUCAUUCAGUGAAAACUCUCAGAAGUGACAGCUGAUUUUGAGAAGUAGCUAAAAGACUCCU